rnacentral:lncRNA from 1 species
CAUAAUAAUGAAGUUUGGUUAGGUUCCGGUCAGGUCAAAUGUCUUGUCUUUUCUUCUUGGCAUGUGUCGGAGAAAUUGAUUACUGUUCGCUAUUGUAAAUUUUGGCGAUUUUGUAGAGCGCUAGGUAAGGGAACAUGCUUCGUGUCAUUAAGUUUUGAUACUGCAGUUCUGUAUUGGUUUAGUAUUGCCAAAACAAGGAUCGUCAUAUAGAGCUCCAGAAUAACAUGGAUA